UCGGACUUUGAGAAAGAAAGGAAAUUCUUCAGAAAUGUUUAGAGACUGUCCCAGGAUACUUAUAUCUCAACAUUGAGUCAAAGUUAGCACACCAGGUCUUCCUGUGAACUCAGAAGUAAAAAUCAAUGGAAAGACACCCCCCCCCCACAAGACAGUGGUUAAUACCCGGAUACAUUCAUACUCCCAGCUGUUUUUACGACACCAGUCUCAGAGGAUUUCGUAGGAGUGCUCUCCCUGCAGACGGCGGGAAACCUGUACGUGCUUAUGCCUUUGUGCACCAUUUUUCUACUUCUACAAGUUACAGGACAGAUUUUCCUUACCUGAACUUGAAAUAACCAUUAUUUUGCCUCUCCUCUCCAUUUCUGCUAUUUGUUUUUGGCUGUUUUUCUGAAAUGAGAAUAAUGGCAAGAAAUAAAAAAAGAAGUAUCGUUC
rnacentral:lncRNA from 12 species